rnacentral:rRNA from 1 species
UACAGAGGUCUCAAGCGUUGUUCGGAUUCAUUGGGCGUAAAGGGUGCGUAGGUGGCGCUGUAAGUCGGGUGUGAAAUUUCGGAGCUUAACUCCGAAACUGCAUCCGAUACUGCGGUGCUUGAGGACUGGAGAGGAGACUGGAAUUCAUGGUGUAGCAGUGAAAUGCGUAGAGAUCAUGAGGAAGACCAGCGGCGAAGGCGGGUCUCUGGACAGUUCCUGACACUGAGGCACGAAGGCCAGGGGAGCAAACGGG